rnacentral:rRNA from 2 species
GCAGUCGAGCGAUGGAUUAGAGCUUGCUCUUAUGAAGUUAGCGGCGGACGGGUGAGUAACACGUGGGUAACCUACCCAUAAGACUGGGAUAACUCCGGGAAACCGGGGCUAAUACCGGAUAAUAUUUUGAACUGCAUAGUUCGAAAUUGAAAGGCGGCUUCGGCUGUCACUUAUGGAUGGACCCGCGUCGCAUUAGCUAGUUGGUGAGGUAACGGCUCACCAAGGCGACGAUGCGUAGCCGACCUGAGAGGGUGAUCGGCCACACUGGGACUGAGACACGGCCCAGACUCCUACGGGAGGCAGCAGUAGGGAAUCUUCCGCAAUGGACGAAAGUCUGACGGAGCAACGCCGCGUGAGUGAUGAAGGCUUUCGGGUCGUAAAACUCUGUUGUUAGGGAAGAACAAGUGCUAGUUGAAUAAGCUGGCACCUUGACGGUACCUAACCAGAAAGCCACGGCUAACUACGUGCCAGCAGCCGCGGUAAUACGUAGGUGUCAAGCGUUAUCCGGAAUUAUUGGGCGUA